GUUAAGCGACUAAGCGUACACGGUGGAUGCCCUGGCAGUCAGAGGCGAUGAAGGACGUGCUAAUCUGCGAUAAGCGUCGGUAAGGUGAUAUGAACCGUUAUAACCGGCGAUUUCCGAAUGGGGAAACCCAGUGUGUUUCGACACACUAUCAUUAACUGAAUCCAUAGGUUAAUGAGGCGAACCGGGGGAACUGAAACAUCUAAGUACCCCGAGGAAAAGAAAUCAACCGAGAUUCCCCCAGUAGCGGCGAGCGAACGGGGAGCAGCCCAGAGCCUGAAUCAGUGUGUGUGUUAGUGGAAGCGUCUGGAAAGGCGCGCGAUACAGGGUGACAGCCCCGUACACAAAAAUGCACAUGCUGUGAGCUCGAUGAGUAGGGCGGGACACGUGGUAUCCUGUCUGAAUAUGGGGGGACCAUCCUCCAAGGCUAAAUACUCCUGACUGACCGAUAGUGAACCAGUACCGUGAGGGAAAGGCGAAAAGAACCCCGGCGAGGGGAGUGAAAAAGAACCUGAAACCGUGUACGUACAAGCAGUGGGAGCACGCUUAGGCGUGUGACUGCGUACCUUUUGUAUAAUGGGUCAGCGACUUAUAUUCUGUAGCAAGGUUAACCGAAUAGGGGAGCCGAAGGGAAACCGAGUCUUAACUGGGCGUUAAGUUGCAGGGUAUAGACCCGAAACCCGGUGAUCUAGCCAUGGGCAGGUUGAAGGUUGGGUAACACUAACUGGAGGACCGAACCGACUAAUGUUGAAAAAUUAGCGGAUGACUUGUGGCUGGGGGUGAAAGGCCAAUCAAACCGGGAGAUAGCUGGUUCUCCCCGAAAGCUAUUUAGGUAGCGCCUCGUGAAUUCAUCUCCGGGGGUAGAGCACUGUUUCGGCAAGGGGGUCAUCCCGACUUACCAACCCGAUGCAAACUGCGAAUACCGGAGAAUGUUAUCACGGGAGACACACGGCGGGUGCUAACGUCCGUCGUGAAGAGGGAAACAACCCAGACCGCCAGCUAAGGUCCCAAAGUCAUGGUUAAGUGGGAAACGAUGUGGGAAGGCCCAGACAGCCAGGAUGUUGGCUUAGAAGCAGCCAUCAUUUAAAGAAAGCGUAAUAGCUCACUGGUCGAGUCGGCCUGCGCGGAAGAUGUAACGGGGCUAAACCAUGCACCGAAGCUGCGGCAGCGACACUAUGUGUUGUUGGGUAGGGGAGCGUUCUGUAAGCCUGUGAAGGUGUGCUGUGAGGCAUGCUGGAGGUAUCAGAAGUGCGAAUGCUGACAUAAGUAACGAUAAAGCGGGUGAAAAGCCCGCUCGCCGGAAGACCAAGGGUUCCUGUCCAACGUUAAUCGGGGCAGGGUGAGUCGACCCCUAAGGCGAGGCCGAAAGGCGUAGUCGAUGGGAAACAGGUUAAUAUUCCUGUACUUGGUGUUACUGCGAAGGGGGGACGGAGAAGGCUAUGUUGGCCGGGCGACGGUUGUCCCGGUUUAAGCGUGUAGGCUGGUUUUCCAGGCAAAUCCGGAAAAUCAAGGCUGAGGCGUGAUGACGAGGCACUACGGUGCUGAAGCAACAAAUGCCCUGCUUCCAGGAAAAGCCUCUAAGCAUCAGGUAACAUCAAAUCGUACCCCAAACCGACACAGGUGGUCAGGUAGAGAAUACCAAGGCGCUUGAGAGAACUCGGGUGAAGGAACUAGGCAAAAUGGUGCCGUAACUUCGGGAGAAGGCACGCUGAUAUGUAGGUGAGGUCCCUCGCGGAUGGAGCUGAAAUCAGUCGAAGAUACCAGCUGGCUGCAACUGUUUAUUAAAAACACAGCACUGUGCAAACACGAAAGUGGACGUAUACGGUGUGACGCCUGCCCGGUGCCGGAAGGUUAAUUGAUGGGGUUAGCGCAAGCGAAGCUCUUGAUCGAAGCCCCGGUAAACGGCGGCCGUAACUAUAACGGUCCUAAGGUAGCGAAAUUCCUUGUCGGGUAAGUUCCGACCUGCACGAAUGGCGUAAUGAUGGCCAGGCUGUCUCCACCCGAGACUCAGUGAAAUUGAACUCGCUGUGAAGAUGCAGUGUACCCGCGGCAAGACGGAAAGACCCCGUGAACCUUUACUAUAGCUUGACACUGAACAUUGAGCCUUGAUGUGUAGGAUAGGUGGGAGGCUUAGAAGUGUGGACGCCAGUCUGCAUGGAGCCGACCUUGAAAUACCACCCUUUAAUGUUUGAUGUUCUAACGUUGACCCGUAAUCCGGGUUGCGGACAGUGUCUGGUGGGUAGUUUGACUGGGGCGGUCUCCUCCUAAAGAGUAACGGAGGAGCACGAAGGUUGGCUAAUCCUGGUCGGACAUCAGGAGGUUAGUGCAAUGGCAUAAGCCAGCUUGACUGCGAGCGUGACGGCGCGAGCAGGUGCGAAAGCAGGUCAUAGUGAUCCGGUGGUUCUGAAUGGAAGGGCCAUCGCUCAACGGAUAAAAGGUACUCCGGGGAUAACAGGCUGAUACCGCCCAAGAGUUCAUAUCGACGGCGGUGUUUGGCACCUCGAUGUCGGCUCAUCACAUCCUGGGGCUGAAGUAGGUCCCAAGGGUAUGGCUGUUCGCCAUUUAAAGUGGUACGCGAGCUGGGUUUAGAACGUCGUGAGACAGUUCGGUCCCUAUCUGCCGUGGGCGCUGGAGAACUGAGGGGGGCUGCUCCUAGUACGAGAGGACCGGAGUGGACGCAUCACUGGUGUUCGGGUUGUCAUGCCAAUGGCACUGCCCGGUAGCUAAAUGCGGAAGAGAUAAGUGCUGAAAGCAUCUAAGCACGAAACUUGCC
rnacentral:rRNA from 1 species